rnacentral:rRNA from 1 species
AGUUCCACCCACCCUGAACCCACCUGAUCUCAUCUGAUCUCAGAAACUAAGCAGGAUCUGGCUUGGUUAGUGCUUGGAUGGGAGGUCCCGUUUCUUACUUCUUGAUCUUAGAGCCUGAGCAAUUGGUGUUU